GCUCUAUCUGAAAGAUCACAAAGUUCCAGAUAAGUUUAAUCUAAAGAGCACAGCUAUUAGAAGCCUAUGUAUGAAAGCUAAUGUUCUAAGAUAGUAAUACCAAAACUUACAUUAAGAUUCUUAUCCUUCCGUGCAGAUCUGUACUCAUUAGUAUAAGUGGAAUCAUCAGCCAACAAAAGGUUCAGGAACUGCUCAGGUGUGCCUGGGAAAACAUCCUGCAUACAAGAGUACAGCUGCAGUAUCUUCAGGAGCUUUCACUUGUACUUUACCACCUCCUCUCACAGAGCUACUAUGAGCACGCAAGGCAGACUCUGCUCUCUCCUAUAGAGUAACAAGCCAACAAAAGAAGUUAAGUUUUCAGGCAAUCACAUCAAAGCUUAAAUGCUUUAUUAGCCAGCCAAAUAGGAGAGAUACCUUCUUUUCAACUUCUAACAUUGCAUGAUAAUUAUUAACUGCACGCUGCAGUGCUUUUUGUGUGUGGUUCCUGUUCCAAAACGAUGCAAAUUUAUACCUCA